GAUUGCAUGUAAGCUUUAAGAUUUAACCAAGUUUACCUAAUUAAUAAAUUGUAAUUAAUCCAAUCGUUUUAUCUUGUUUGUCUGUUAAUCAACUAAAUCAAUCAUGUUUAUUAUGCUCUUCAAAUUUUGUCUAAUCAGUUAAUGUGCUUCACUUGUGUUUCAAUCAGAUAAAUGUCCAUUUUUCAGUCUUAAAUCCCUUCCUUUAUCUUUCACAGCUGACUAUUAUCAUUGAUUUGCUUUUGGACUUAAGAUUUUGGAAAUUUCAGUGUCUUCGUUCUUGUGAAAGGAUUGAAUAGCUUAUUUUAUUCAUGAUUCUCUGGAUUUUCGGAUGAAUUACUCUAAUCCGUUCUAAAGCAAACCUUAAAAAUGUUCAAAUCAAUAUGAAAAACACAUUGUCUCAAUCUUUGAGAUCUGACUGGAUGUGAAUUUUACAUCUGCAAACAUGAAAUAACCAGAAGGGAAUGAAACGGCGAACUCACCUGAUUUUCUGUUGAUCUCAAAGACCAUCAGCUGAUGUUUCAUAUUAUUUACAUUACUGCAUUAAUUACUUCAUCAAGUUAUGAAUGGUCAGCCUAAUUCGUUCAUCUCUGCAUCGACUUAUUUUGUAGGACUGUUGGUUUAUUCAGAUGAAAACAAGAAGAUCAUUUUUCACCUUUGAAAGAAAAGUUUUGGCAUCAACCUCACGCAUCAUCAAUCUUUUCAGUCACCAAUCAACAUGCUGAGAGUUGGUCUGUUGAUGUUUUGUUUGCACGGAGUAAGACCACGAACGAACUGCUCAUUUACGUAUGCAUGUGUGUAUAUUAAAUGCAACAGAAUUACCUAUUUAUAAAGAUUCACUCAUCAUUAUCCAGUGAAAAGCAUAAAACAAAAAAAAGGUUGACUUAUCUGACAAGGUGAUAAAGUCAACAACAAUAGCAUCGAUUGACAUGAAAUAGCGAGAAUGGCCGUCCAAUAUCAUGCUAAUAUCAUCUUUAAACUCUUCAACUUGAUUGAUUAUAAUCAUGAUUAAAGGUUCAUGUGAAAAAAGAGAGGCACAAUGAUGAUGUAUUUUGACACUGAUUGCCAUGUUAAUUGGUACAACAAUUGUUUCUCGCAAAAUUGAUGAGUCUUGGUUUCAUCAUGUUUAUGGUUAAUUACAAAUCUGAUUACUUCCGUUUACCGUUCAACUUGUAACCUCAUGUCAACACCAUCAACCUCAGAGCUUUAAUCCUAUAAAGAUUAAUUUAUUAUCAUGUGAAUUUGAUCACAUGAUGAUUCUCAAUCUCUAAAGUAAAUAUUAACAAGAGUAUCUUUUAGGAUGAAAAGAUACAGCUUUCAGUCAUAUUGACUAUUGAUUUUGAUCAUCUCAUUGUUUGAUCAAUGAAAAAAUGUAUCAAAUGAUAUUUCAAUCCAACGAACUGGAAUCCAACAAUCUGUUAACCUUGCUCAGUUUACUGGAUUUGCUGUUUCAAAUAUUAUGUUUAAGCCUUAGAUAGUUCAUUGAUGUGAAAUUCAAGGACAAAACUGUGUGAUUAUGGAAUUGGGAAACUGUUCAAUUAUAUUAAUUUCACCAAUGAAAUCAUUGAGGAUGCUUGUUAUCAUCUACCAACGACCCGAACAACUCAAAUGAUCGCUAUUAACUCACAGUCAAGUUGACCAGAAGCAAGGCUAAUGGUUGUAAUGGUAAUAACAAUGACAACGAAAAGGAGAGCAAAAAAUAAGCAAAUAACAGGUCGCUAAAUAAAGAGAAAUGAAGAUUCACUUUGUUUUUUCUGUGAAUAACAAUUAUGGUAUCAUUACAGAUAUAAUUAUAAUUGUAAUAAUCAGGACGAUAAACAUCAUUUUUCAUGCAGAUUUGCCUCUUCAAAUGGCUAACAAUUGGUAAAGUGUUGACACUCUUAACUCUUGGAUCAAAUUUGUCAGUUACUGUAAUAUAAUUGAAUUACCUGUAAUCCAGUUGUCAAAGGCAGUGUUGUGUUGAAAAAGCUAUUUGCUAAUCGAGAUGAUUUCAACAUUCUCAAUGCACUUUGUCCCAUUCUUCGAGCUUCUGCACUGGCUUUCGGUUCAGGACGGGGAUGAUCAUGGCUUCCUUUGGCCUGGAAAAAUAAAGAUCAAUUGCAAAGCAAUUAGGUUGAUCUUUGUAAAGAGCAAGAUGAUAUGAAGGAGAUGAACAUCACAAAUUUUCAAGGAUCACCAGAAACAUUUAAAGGAGACAUUUAAAGGCCUCCUUUCCUCCUAUCAAUCACCCUGUUACCAGGUUGCUUGUUAACUCAGUGGGUGGCAGGGAACCGUCAACACACAUAUUACAUCCAACAUGAACAAAAUCAACAUGAAAAUCAAAAUCAAAAUCAACAUCACCAUCAACUCAUCUCUGUUUACAGUUGGUUGUCAAAAAAAUCGCUUUUCCCACCCCAGAGAAAUAGCUUUCACCUUAUAAACCUUCUUGUCUUCAUUUUGAUGUAUUCUUACAUCUUACAUGGCAAAAAGGUGAAUCUUUAUUUCUUCAUCUGUUAUUAAUAUGAUCGACUAAUAAUUAUCAGCUAAAGAUUACAAUUUUUCACUUUUAACUUGAUCAUCAACUUCAUACCUUUUAUAAUAGUUAAUAUGCAAUUUAUAGCAAUAACAUUCAUCUAGCAAAACAUUUUGCGUGCAUUACUUUUGCCAGGUUAAUUAUUGUUGUUAAUUGUUAACACUAUAUUCAUAAACCACGGAAGAAUAGGAUAAAUAAUAUUAAAUGAGCAACAAUUAAAAACGAUCAAUUGUUGAUUUGAAUUUAUGAAUACGGGUUAACGGUAUUAACAUAAUAAGGGUAAAUCAACCUUAUUUAGAUGACCAUCCAAUAGUCAAUCAGCCAAAUGUCAUUGUUUCCAUCUUUUAUAACAUUGAAGAUUUUCAACUAAUUAGCAAUUAUCAAUUACUGUUAUCAUUUUAUAACAUCAGCAAUUAAUCAAAAUGUAACAAUUUUUUUAAUCAAUCUGAAGCCAUCUGAAAGAGUUUACAUUUCUUGAUGUACUGGAAUCAGUUGAGUUUAUUUCUGAAGAUCAUUACUAAAUGAUCAAUUCUGAUGGUUAAGUUUUCCCUUUAAGUUCAAGAGUCACAAUUUAAUGUGGUUAUAAUCAGUCAAAUUAAUUUAUUUCAAAUUGGCAACUAGCAAUUGAAAGUUCAAGAUGUAUUCAAGCAAUUUAAAUAUGAAGAUUCUUGUGGAAAUUAAGUUAAUGUGAAUUUGUUUUUCAUUUUUUCUUUCGAUCUAUUCAAUACUAUCUUUUUUGUUAAAUUCAAAUUGUGAUCAGUUGGGAAAUGUAAAGAUUUCAAAUUGACUCCCAUUGAAAUCAGCUCCUGUAAACCAAAUUAGGGUCUAAUUUUAGCGUGACUUGAGUAUCAUCAACAUGAUUAUCAUUAUCAUCAUCCUAAUUCAUUUUGCUUGGGUGAGUAAAUAAUCACCUCAUUGAAUUACUUGAAAUUUCACAAAAUCAUGAAAACUUUGAUGAUUAUAUUAGUGAAGAGAAAUAUAAUCUGAAUAAUAAUAGAGAAAAGAUUUGAGAUUGUCUUAUGAUAAUAAAGCUAAAUCCAUAAGAAAUCAACUUAUAGUUAUGAUAAUUCAGAGAAAUUUGAUCCAACACUAUCAAGAUAAAGGACAGAGUAAAAUGAAUACAAACUAUUUCAAGAAAUUCUAAUAUCUCAAUUACUGUUGAAAUGUAUUGAUUUUAAGCAUAAAUCUCAUUGAAAAAAGUUUAGUCGAACCAAAUUAUAUUUGAUUUUAUUUGUUGAUGAAAUGAUUGAA